GACGAACGCUGGCGGCGUGCUUAACACAUGCAAGUCGAACGGAAAGGCCCAGCUUGCUGGGUACUCGAGUGGCGAACGGGUGAGUAACACGUGGGUGAUCUGCCCUGCACUCUGGGAUAAGCCUGGGAAACUGGGUCUAAUACCGGAUAUGACCAACUGUCGCAUGGUGGUUGGUGGAAAGCUUUUGCGGUGUGGGAUGGGCCCGCGGCCUAUCAGCUUGUUGGUGGGGUAAUGGCCUACCAAGGCGACGACGGGUAGCCGACCUGAGAGGGUGAUCGGCCACACUGGGACUGAGACACGGCCCAGACUCCUACGGGAGGCAGCAGUGGGGAAUAUUGCACAAUGGGCGCAAGCCUGAUGCAGCGACGCCGCGUGAGGGAUGACGGCCUUCGGGUUGUAAACCUCUUUCACCAGGGACGAAGCGUGAGUGACGGUACCUGGAGAAGAAGCACCGGCCAACUACGU
rnacentral:rRNA from 1 species